rnacentral:tRNA from 1 species
CUGCGAUGCGCUGGCAUUGGCGGGCGGGCUUUCGGCGCUGGGGCUGGUCCGCGGCGACCGGGUGGUGGUGCAAUUCCCCAAUUGCGGG